AUUCCUUCAAGCACGUCGAAGACCAGAUAAAAGGAGGAAUAGAUUAAGAACAGUAAAAAAAUCUAAAGCUACAAAUCCUAGCCCACAACGGGAACCAGAAGCAAUACCUGCAAGAUUUUCAUGGCACCUGAGUUUGAGUCCCAUUGGAUGCUUUAGAUUAAUCUUUUUUAAAAAUACAGUAAAUUCAGUAGUGAAGGUCUUUAUCUCAUUGUACUGGUGGAGUUACUUUAGUGUGAAAAAGCAUUUUGAGUCGGUGAAAAAUCUAUUUCCAUCCAUCGUUUGCCAAAUAGAGCUUCACAAUCUUAGACAACGCUUGCAAAAACUGGAAACAGAGUUCUCUAAGUUAGAGUCUGCAUUGCAGAAUAAGGAGACUAAACCCAGUUCAGUAGAUAACUCCUGCUGUUGUAGAUGCACUAGGCAGGAACAUGCAAAAAGCAGAUCUCCUGCAAUACCACCCCAACCUCAAGUUGCAGAACAUGCUACUUCUGUUUCACUUGCUCCUCCCCCUCCUCCACCUCCUCCACCUCCUCACUACCUCCUCCACCUCCACCACCAGGUCCUCCACCAGUCUUUACUCUGCCGAACAAGCUACCUAUUCUGAAGAGAACUGGAAAUACAAGACCACCUAAGGAUACUUUGGAAAAAAAAGGACCAAUUACCAUAACACUGAAGGACCUCCUGAAUGUUAAGUUGCGCAAACCAAGGGACAAUGUGGUAAAACAAAAA